GUCAACAGCCCUAUAUCGACAUUGAAACUUGAAAGCAUGCAAGAAGGUGAUUCUAAAUUAUAAAAAAUCAGAUGAAUAAACUCUCUUCAUAACUGGUUUUUCUCAUUUAUAUUCUAAUAAUAGGGUGUUGUUAUAUGGUUCUCUUUUUUGCAAAUGACAAGGAGAUUCAAAGUGGUGAUGACCAUUUCAAAGAGUCUGCAGUCAUUCAAGGUAGCAGGGGAAUCUGCAGUGAUGGAAAUCACCAUCCAAUUAAUGAAUGAUUAUUGACUUAAUCUCUAUGUGCUUUAUGGCACUUCAAAUGAAGAUGGAAGUGCGGUGGAAACUUCAUGGAUAGAUUGCAGGUAUGAAGACAUUCACAGCUGAGACUUGAAGCUCGAGGGGAACUACUUGCAGUCAGUGUUGAAGAAAGCGCAAGAAACACUGCCUAAACACUUCAAAAACUGGCAUCUCUCAGUUAGUUGAUGUCCACGUGCUGUUGUAUUGGAGUUGACAGACACAGGAGGCUCAAGCUUAAAGGAUGCUAGAUGUUAUCUAAUUGAUUUUUACUAGAGAUUUUCAGAGUUAUCCUUGCAUAGACAAUGAACUUCGGGUGAGUCAUGCGAGCCCCGCAGGUUACAGUGAGUAAACAACGAGCAUGCAUGCUCCCGCCAGCCUGCAAAAUUUGGCACAAAGCAAUCGUUGAUUAAUUUGUAGCUAAUAACAUAGUCCAAGGCCUAAGCCUACAGCCAAUCUCGAAAUGGAAUGAUUCUUUUUAUUUUUUAUUUUUAUUUUUUUGGCAUUUAGGACUCAUUUCUUCGUAUGUUUACUUUGUUUAAUUUUUAAUCAAAGCUAAUCUAACGUUGAUGCGUGCUAAAGC